rnacentral:lncRNA from 1 species
AAACAAAAGCACAAUCUACUCUCUCCCAAACCCUUGCCAUACCAAAAUGAUUAUUACACCAAGUGCAUUUAGAUCCAGUAUAUGCUAAAUCUAGAAGACCAGUUUGUCUUGAACAAGCUCUAAACUCCCUAAUUUUUUUAUCAACCCUAAAAUGCCUUCCUCCUCUUUUGUCUUCAGGAUUCAAAAUACAAUUAAAAUCUCUAGCUAAAAGGAAAGGAAUACCCAUAGGCACUACAAUUGAAC